rnacentral:tRNA from 1 species
GCGCCCAUAGCUCAGUCCGGCAGAGCAGCUCCCUUUUAAGGAGAUGGUCGCAGGUUCGAAUCCUGCUGGGCGCA